rnacentral:lncRNA from 1 species
CACCCCUCGGAUCGUCCUCUUCACACCCCCCCUUUUCAAGUCUUCUUCUUCAGAAUUUCCUUAGAACACCCAUCAACGGGAACCUUCAGCAGCACCAAACCUAACACAAGCCAUGCCACCUUCACAAAAUCAGUAGCGCCGCAUUUGAGCAAAACCAAAUGACACCCCUUCCCCAACGUCUCUCCUUCUUCUUUCACACACACGCAGCUGAUCUAAUUCCCAAACUUUCCGGAAACCAUCCCUGAAAAGCCAUGAAAAUCGGUCAAUAAUUUCAGUUUUGGAACGCAAUCAAACAGCUUCAGAACUUGUCGAAACACCAACUCGAGAUUUCCAGCCCGUGGUCGAGUUUCUGUUGCCAUUCGCGAUUCCGUUCGAGGUCUUCAGGUCCCUGUUCCGGUUGUGGUCAUUUUCGGGUGCGUUUCUGUUUCCUUACUCUGCUUUGAUGUUAUUGAGAGCAAAUUACAGUGAUAGAGAUCUAUCUUAUUUCCGUCUACAUAGUUGUUUGAACAUUUUAAGUGAGUUUCCUUGUUUAAUGUUGUUGGAUAUGCUAUAAUUUGUUCUGUUAAUUAGUCUGCUAGCUUGUUAGUUUGCUGUGUUUUUGUUUGAAAUUAGCUUAAAAUCUCUAAAAAUGUUGAGUUUCUUGUUAUUUUAUGAAUUAACAAUUGUUCAGUUAAAUUAAAUUAGGAAGAGCAAAUAAAUGGGUUGUUGGGUAGUUUAACAUAUUUGCCUUCUCUCUCUAUUUGUCUAAUUUUAUCCAGUUCAUUUACGUUACAUUCUAUUCCCCCUCACAAUUGCUGGUUUGCCAUUUUUGUUCUGUUUUCAAUUGCGUAGGACGCCAAUUCUUUUCAGACUCGGUUGUUGAAAGUUUUUUGGUUGGUAGUGUUUAGUCGAACAGUUUUACGUCGCUCUAAAUUGGAAAAUUGGCUCAACGAAGAUAAAUUUGUUACUUUAUAGAUUUUAUGGUGCUAUAAGUUCGUCAUUUCUUUUUAAUUGAUUUCAAGUUAACGCCAC